rnacentral:lncRNA from 1 species
UACUUUUUGGUUUUCUUCCCAAAAGAUCUCGUACUAUUAGAGUUGAACAUCUCUUUAUAUAUUAGACUUUCCUUUGUCUAAUAUCCGAUAGGGAACUUAACUUGUUAUCUCACAAAUACAACUCUUUAAAACUCAACUGGAGAUGUUACAUAACAAUCAAGAAGUCGGAGGAUAGUGUGAAUCAGGAGUCAACUUUUAAUGCUAUGUUUAGCGUAUACAGAAACUCAGUGCUUAUUGUGCAAUGUGUAAAUGAGAAUGGCUCAUAUGUUUGAACUUUUUAUUCAUGAAAUCAGUCCCCGAGGUGGCGGCAACAAAGGACUUCUUCUGAGAGACAUGCCGCCUCAGAGCUAAACCCACAAUUAUUAUAAUGUUUAUUGCAUGUCUGAUUGUGUAAUGAUUUAUAUCAAUGCAGACAAACCUUCAAACUGUCAUCCGUAUGAAAUUGAGAUCUCACUGUCUUGUUAGAAAGUCCUGUGUCUUGAUGAGUUUGAGUUCUUGAGAGUAAUAGUGUACACAGGAGAUGAUUGAUUCAUAUGUGUGGGCUGAGACUGAGUUUUGGGUUGAAGAAGCUUCUUGAAAUCGUCUUGGCACCUUGGCUCCAAAACGUGCCUUCCUAUGUCAUCUACUUUAAUGUGGAGAGAAAUACAAUUAAAAAGUUUCACUGCUUUGAUUCAGGAAACUGUUAAAUCUUUGUUUUUGUAGUUUGAUGUU